GUGAGGAAUAUUGGACAAUGGGCGCAAGCCUGAUCCAGCCAUGCCGCGUGCAGGAAGACGCAUCUAUGGUGUGUAAACUGCUUUUGUACGGGAAGAAACACUCCCUCGUGAGGGAGCUUGACGGUACCGUAAGAAUAAGGAUCGGCUAACUCCGUGCCAGCAGCCGCGGUAAUACGGAGGAUCCAAGCGUUAUCCGGAAUCAUUGGGUUUAAAGGGUCCGUAGGCGGUUUAAUAAGUCAGUGGUGAAAGCCCAUCGCUCAACGAUGGAACGGCCAUUGAUACUGUUAGACUUGAAUUACAAGGAAGUAACUAGAAUAUGUAGUGUAGCGGUGAAAUGCUUAGAUAUUACAUGGAAUACCAAUUGCGAAGGCAGGUUACUACUUGUGGAUUGACGCUGAUGGACGAAAGCGUGGGGAGCAAACAGGAUUAGAAACCCUUGUAGUCC
rnacentral:rRNA from 1 species